rnacentral:rRNA from 1 species
AAAGUUUAAGUUAAUGCCAAGAUUUUAUUUGUUUUUCAUAAUUAAGUUAAAAAGUAUUGGCGGUAUUUAGUUAAAUUCUGAGGAACUUGUUUAUUUAAAUAGAUAGUACACAUUAAAUUUUAUCUACAAUUAAAUGUUUAUAUAUUGCUGUUUAAUUUAUUAUUUAUUAUUUAUUAAUAAGUUUAGUUAAUUGGAAAUUAAGGAGUUCAAGUCAAAAUGUAGUUUUUUGUAGGGUUAAAUGAGUUACUUUUAUAUUGAAAUAUGGAACUGUAAAAUUAUUUGAAAUGAAAUAAUGAUGAAGGUUGGAUUAGGAAGUAAAAAGGAAGUAAUAAGUUUUUUUGAUAAUUUUUACUAGUAUGU